GAUGCAUAAAAGAAAUUGUAUCAUUUUGAUGUAAAAUGAAAUGAUGAAUUAAAAAAGAAAAAAAAAAGAACCACCCCAAGCCAAAACCAAUGUCUCAUAUCCGUUUGGCCUUGAAACAGAAGUCCAACAACCGUCGACGGAUAUGCGACAUCUGUUGCAGUCAUCCUCUUUUUGGACACAGAACACAGCGUACUGACCGAACGAAACCAUGCACACAGAAGACAUAACAGGCAACACACAACAAAACACCAGCAAACCAAUGACAUUCAACAAAUCUAAGAUAAUGCAUAUUAAAAACUAAAAAUCGAAGCACCCUAUAGACGAAUGCCCCGACCUACACCAUGAACCACCAACACGAACCACUACUGCGAAACACCACUGCACCACAACACCGCACCACCACGAAUAGAAAGGUAGAGUUUGGAGACUUUCGAGAGUUUGGAAGAAUUCACCCAGGGAAAAGAAGAGUGUGAUGGUAGGAGGUAGGAAAAGCAGAAGCGACGGUGAGAGGUAGGAGAAGAAGAGGCGUUUCUCGAGGGUUGCUCGUUUCUGAAAGUUUUAGGGGGAGGGGGGUGGGUGGGGCAGCAGAGAGAUGCUAGGAGGAAGAGUAAAAGGUUCAAGUUUUCUAAAAGUAAAAAGGUAAAAAAGGGUAAAAAAGGAAAAGGUUAUUUCUGUAAAUAAAAAAAUAUGUAGAACUUUGGGAAGGUGGGGGAAGAAAAUGGGGAGGUGGAGAAAGCAACCCCUUUAAGAAUCGAUUGACUUUUACAACUAGGCCCUUUGAAUUGUUAGGUUAUCAAGCUAGCACGUCUUUUUUCUGUCAUAAAAAAUGUAAUUUGACAUGGAAAACAGGUUGGAAAUUUUUAUUUUUCACAUGAAAACGGGCUAAUACUAGGCUGUCAGGUUGAUUCCGACUUAAAGGGAUGUCGUCCAAGUUGUUUCACAUCUUGUUCGAUUUGUAUCAAACCUUGACCCAAAUGUAUCAGACCUCAAUCGGG
rnacentral:lncRNA from 1 species